GCAAGCCAGACAGGGAGAACAAGUUCAUCCACUAGAACAAAGUGCCCUGCGAUGCUAAGCCUGUUAAGGACGGAAGAUGGAGGGUGGUAUUGGUAUUUAUGUGCGCACAGGGUGUUGCAUAACCAUGAACUCCUCGGAACUUGUGCGGAGAAGUUACAUUAGCACCACUGAUAUACGUUGGAAAAUAAUCGCGAAUAUGGUGCUUAUAGUCUCUUGUCUUAAUUAUAUGCCAGGUAGUGCACGUGGGGUUCCUAAUCUUGAAGUCAGAAGGGCCUUCACGACCGGAGCAAGCGCCACCCGGACCAGAUUGGCAUUUCACUUGAGAUGGUGUUCUGAUGACCUCCUGAAGUAUGG
rnacentral:lncRNA from 1 species